rnacentral:rRNA from 1 species
AUACGUAGGUGACAAGCGUUAUCCGGAUUUACUGGGCGUAAAGGGCGUGUAGGCGGUCUUGCAAGUCAGAAGUGAAAUUCCUGAGCUCAACUCGGGCGCUGCUUCUGAAACUGCAGGACUUGAGUGCUGGAGGGGAUAGCGGAAUUCCUAGUGGAGCGGUAAAAUGCGCAGAUAUUAGGAAGAACACCGGUGGCGAAGGCGGCUAUCUGGACAGUAACUGACGCUGAGGCGCGAAAGCGUGGGGAGCAAACAGGAUUAGAUACCCUGGUAGUCCACGCCGUAAACGAUGACUACUAGGUGUAGGGGGUAUCGACUCCCUCUGUGCCGCAGUUAACACAAUAAGUAUUCCGCCUGGGGAGUACGGCCGCAAGGUUGAAACUCAAAUGAAUUGACGGGG